rnacentral:rRNA from 1 species
AGCGGAGGAAAAGAAACUAACAAGGAWUCCCCUAGUAACUGCGAGUGAAGCGGGAAGAGCUCAAAUUUGAAAUCUCCUUCGGGCGAGUUGUAAACUGGAGAAGCGUUAUCAGACGUCGGCCGCACUAAAGUCUCCUGGAAUGGAGUGUCAUAGAGGGUGAGAAUCCCGUGCUUGGUGCGAUUGCGGCGUUGUAGAGGCGUUUUCUAUGAGUCGAGUUGUUUGGGAAUGCAGCUCAAAAUGGGUGGUAAACUCCAUCUAAAGCUAAAUACUGGCGAGAGACCGAUAGCGAACAAGUACCGUGAGGGAAAGAUGAAAAGGACUUUGGAAAGAGAGUUAAAGAGUACGUGAAAUUGCUGAAAGGGAAGCGCUUGGAGUGAGUCGCGCGGGCGGGAGUCAGCUCUGCGUACUUCCUGCCCGUGGGCCAGCAUCGACCUUGGACGGCGGAUAAGGGCGGUGGGAAUGUGGCAUCUCCGGAUGUGUUAUAGCCUGCUGUCGUACACGCCGACCGGGGUCGAGGACUGCUUAUAGGAUGCUGGCGUAAUGGCUCUAAGCGACCCGUCUUGAAC